UGUUCAAUCUAAUCUAAUCAUGGGCCGAUUUGCCCUCUUAUUAUACUGUCUCUCUUUUAAAUGAUUCAACGAUGGUAAAAAGUUGCAAAGAGAAUUGUUUGCUUCGACUUUGAGAUACCUUGAGCUAACAAUAUAAUCAUCAAAAAUACAUUGAAUUAAUCAGACAAGUAAUUUUUGCUAGUUUUUCUUGUGUUCUUCUCAAGCUAUCAAAUUUCAGAUGGUCGGAGAAGUUGCAAUGUG
rnacentral:misc_RNA from 1 species